CAGGCUCGGACUUCAUUGUACAGCUUGGAGGAGGAGAUGGGAGCCAAAAAAGAGGUGUACUCCCCAGGGAUGCUCACACCAUCAUCUGCACAGCAGGAAGGUCAAAGUAGGUAAAUGGUUGCUGCCCCACCCACCAUCAAACACCUCAUACAACCCAAUUUGGAGGCACCUUUCAGAAAGUGCUGUGCUCCAUCCAGGCACUCAGGUGACAGUUCAUUGUCAGCGAAGGAACCCAGAAGUUCACUGACAAUGAUGUCUGCUUUCUCUGGAGCCACCCAUUCCCGCAUGUCUGAUGAGACUACUGUCACUUGGCUUCCCCAUUCUUCAAACUGCCAGUUCUCUAGCCUGAAAGAGAUGAUGCCGGUGAUGAUAGUUCUUAUGGAAACCUGCCAACAGGAACAAACUUCCCAGCAAGCAGGAUGCUACUCACGUCACCACAGCAUUUGGGUUCUUCUCCACAGCGUACAACUUUAUCCGCCGGUCAGCCUGCUUGGCUGCCCGAAGGGAAGCAUUCACCAGGGGACCCCGGCCUGCUCCCAGCACCAUUAGAACCCUAAGAAAGGAGAAGAGUCAAGCAGAUUUGGCAUAUAGAGAAAAGGCGCGAAAGUACCUGGAACUGCAGGGAGAACACUCACUGGACAUUGGUAUCCUUCUCCUCUUCCGGUACUCGGUCUAGCAGACAUUUAUAGAUGGCCUGGGAGAAGAAGAGAAGACCUCAUGGCUAUAAUCCCAUCCUCACCGAGGUCAUCCAGGCCCUGUGCUUUCCAACCUGGGCCCACACUGUACCUGCUGGUACUGGGAGUAUUUGAUAGGAUCCUUUUCAAAUACUUCAUAUGUCUGAGAUUCUAGAUUAUCCAUUAGUGGCUGACAAAUGAGAGGAAAAAGACAUAGUAAGUUAGCCAGUUUCUGGCAAGUUGAUGCACCCAAACAUCAAAAACUUCCUACUGUCUCAUGAGUUUUAGUAGGAUUUGGAGGUAUCUAGUAUUAAGAUAUUUUCUACCCCACCACCUGCCUGUCAAUGCAUCCCAAACCCACCUGGAGUGGGGACUGCAGAUAGUCUUCAUAGCCCUUGGCAAAGAGUUCAUAGGCAUUGGGUGGAGGGCGGUUCUGGCUUAAGUAUUCCAAGUACUGGAGGUAAGAGCAAAACUCCUUCUCUGAGUGGUGGUUGGUGCCUGUGAUGAUGAACUGCACCUCCAACUAUGAGAGAAGUCAGAUCAUUAGAUACAGCCAUGAAACCAAGAUUCUGGGAUAUUGUGGUUUAUGGCCAAAGAGCCCUAUUAUGAAAUAAGGACAGACCUACAGUUCUCAAAUAUCUGCCCUAAUACCAACAAAAGAAGCAAAAUCAUCAAUAAAAUUACAAAGCCAUUUUAAAGUAUAUUAAGUAUCAUACUGGCUCAAAGGACCACAUGGAUCCUUGCUGUGUAACUUCCUAAAUGAAAAUUUCUGCAAAGUU